AACAAAACAUAUUAGUCAGUCAAUUAACCAAUUUGAAGGUGCAAAUCAACAAACAUUAUUAUUCAUCUAUCUGUUAAAAUCACAGACAAUCUGGUAAACUUGUUAAAUCCUAGAUCAAAUGGCGAGUUUCACGAAAAGAUGAAACAAUUAAGACUUGGUAGCUAAAAUGAACGGUUACAUUUAGCGUCAUUAUUAAUAACAAUCUAAUAAUAGCUGUUAAGUUUUUUGUUUAAAUAUAGUCAACAUCAAGGUCACCAAUCAGCUUCAUAUUAUUUUGCAGGUUAACAAUCAACUAACGGUUGCCAUCUUGUUUUUGGGUUUAUCAAUGACCAGCUCUUUAUGAUUACAUGAAUAGCAUCAUGAAACCACCAUUUAGCCUCACUCUCGAUGUUGCCCUAAAAAAUAUCCACAACCUAACCUAACCAACAUCAUUUGAUUCCAUCAUUUUAACGUUUUAACUCUAAUGGUUAGUGGUGCUUUUCUGGUUUCUUAGUGCCUUUGUUGAUUACCAGUAAAUUUUAAACCUUUAUAUUACCUCAUUAGAUUACUCAGGUGGCUUGGAUCACAGUUGAAAUGCAUAUUAGGAUUUUGAUUUUGAUCAGUGUGAUGAUGAUUGGCAUAGGUCAUCGUCAAUCAACAGAAGCGGCGCCAUUAUUUGGAUUCGGUAAUCAUGGCCAUUUACCAGUUGAGAGGCCGAUUCAGGGGGAACCAAUUAGUCUAUGUGAUGGUGAAGUUAUUGGUGGCAAAAUUUGUAUCUACAAGUGUAAAUUAUGUGACAUGCCAAGAAUGUUUGUAAUGAAAUAUGCCAGUUACAUCGGUUGAAACGAGAAAAAAUAUAAUGCUGAGGAAAAGCUUGAGACUCCAAAAAUAACCAAAAUCAAACUACAGAUGAAAUGAUUCAUAAAAUAAACAUGUAAAUCCAUGUAGUACAUGUAAACUGUAUAACCAAAAGAGGAUAUUAUUAACCAAUUGGAAUUAUCACACCAAUAUGAAAUAAUAAACUGGUUGAAUCAGUUGGAAAAUAUUGAUACAUUUA